ACGGGAGGCAGCAGUGGGGAAUAUUGGGCAAUGGGCGCAAGCCUGACCCAGCAACGCCGCGUGAAGGAAGAAGGCCUUCGGGUUGUAAACUUCUUUUAUCAAGGACGAUAAUGACGGUACUUGAUGAAUAAGCCACGGCUAACUACGUGCCAGCAGCCGCGGUAAUACGUAGGUUGCAAGCGUUGUCCGGAUUUACUGGGUGUAAAGGGCGUGUAGGCGGAGCUGCAAGUCAGAUGUGAAAUCCCGGGGCUCAACCCCGGAACUGCAUUUGAAACUGUAGCCCUUGAGUAUCGGAGAGGCAAGCGGAAUUCCUAGUGUAGCGGUGAAAUGCGUAGAUAUUAGGAGGAACACCAGUGGCGAAGGCGGCUUGCUGGACGACAACUGACGCUGAGGCGCGAAAGCGUGGGGAGCAAACAGGAUUAGAUACCCUGGUA
rnacentral:rRNA from 1 species